AAGGGGUCGGUGACCCAUCUGCUAAAUAAUCACCUCUUUAGCUUCAAGCUCUAUCUCCUUGGUCUUCUCUCUUGGAAAUCAAAGGCAAGGGCGGAGGGCGACACGGUGAGGGUUGUGCUACUUCGCUCCUUAUCAUGCUCCUUGUCCUAUAGGUGCCAUCUCUCCACACCACACUCCUUGUCCUGCCUCUUCUCCUCCAACCUCCGCAGGUCCAAGAGGUCACAACAGUUCUUCCCCUACACUGUGUCAGCUCUCCACUUUGGCGGAAGCACCCCACGUCGCUGCUACGCUUGAGGCGAGGCUUUCCUAUAACUUCCAUCCACACAGUCUCCACCUCCCUCGUCGAGAGAGGUAUGGAUAAGAGGAACCAAGCAUGGUUGAUUCGCCUAGGGUGUUUCUCUCCUUCUUUCUCAUGCCGAUUUUAAAGAAUUGAUUUUGAUUUUAGUUUUACAUUGCAGGAACCCUUUUGUUAUUUUUCUUGAUGCAAGUUGAAUUUUUGCUUGAUUUUUCUAGCAGAUUUCUUUUGUUUCUAGAGAUUGAUUCAUCAAUGCUUUGAACAUUUUUUCCUUUUGGUUAAUAGUACAUCUUAUGUUUACCUAAUAUGUUGAUCUUGACUUUUCUUCACUAGUUGGUUGUAGACUCCAUUUGAUUUCCAUCAAUUAGGUUGAUGGCGUAUGAUGGAUCAAGUUAAAUUAGAAAUUUGAACAUCAGUAUUAGAUAGUGCAUUAGAGGUGCAUAUUCACUUGUCUAUGGAAACUGUAGUUGUAAAAAGGAUUAGAAAUGCUAUAUACUUUAUUUAUCACUACUGAUUUAAGGCUUUGUUUAUUUAUGCUAUCUACUUCAAUUUCUCUCUUUGCUAGCUCUGGAUUUUUCUUCUGUCUCCUUAUUAUUUUAUCAUAUGGCCAAUUAUGUCUUGUGCUCUACUUAUCUUCAAUUAUUGGAUCUUAUAUUGAGCUUGCUUUUUACUCAAUUAGAUAUUCAUACUACUUUAUUUAGUAGAGUUUCCUGACAUGUCCAUUUUGCCAACAAAAAAAAAAAUGUUAAGAUGAGUAUUUUGGUGGUUGAUUUGAUAUUAUGACUCUUCAUGAAUAUCUACAGCAAAUGGUUCUUUCACCUUGAAUAUUUUAAGGUGUGAUUAAUCAUUUUCUUUGUUUUUGCCCUUUUCAACCUGUCCAGUCUUAUAAUAAACUUGUAGUAAGGCUAACAUCUUUUUCCUUAAACUUUGCCCUUGCAUUGAAAAUUAUUGCAUUUUAAUUUAUAUAUCAUGCGAAGGGAAUAUGUAUAUAUAUUUUCAUGAAAGCGUUUAUCUUAUGAUGCAUUUAGUUGAACAAAAGUGAAAGAGAAAAACAUAAUUUGCUGCUUUUCAAUUUAAUUACAUUUCUUCUCUCCUAAUUCCUCUGUUUCAAGUCAACACAGUAUUAAAGGAAUUUCAUUUGACUCAUGAUUCCUUUUCAUGAUAUCUAAAUAAUACACUGAUCUUGCAGGUAUCUUUUUGAACAAAAGUCUAUUACCCAAAUAUUAACAACAACAACAUCUGCCUUGACAUUCUAUUAUUACUACUAAACAUGUAUAUCAAACCAAAUGUUAUUUAUGCAUGUCGAGAAAUACCUAUAUGACAUUCAAAUACCUAGAUUUGUAAUUGGGGAUUGAUGAAUUUAACUAUUUCUUUUCAAAUUUUAACUCUAGGUUCGAGAAAGAGGUCACCAUAGAAUUAUUCUAAGGUUAUAGAUAUAUUAGGAAAAUGACCUCUUCUAGUUGCAUGGUUGGUAUGCUUUCUAGUGUCAUAACUAUGCAUGAUGAUUCAUUAGUGGUUUAUCUAACAACUUUAUUUUCAUACUUCUAUUAAUAUUUUUAGAACUACUAUUUCUAAGGUCAUAAAUCUUAAUACAUCCUGAUUAAUUUAUUAUUAUUUGAUUGAAGCAAAAUCUCAAACCAAGUUAUUAAUAUUAUACUUUUUAUAUUUCAGUUUGCAGUUUACAUGAGGUAUGUUGUCUUAAAUACUAUAGUUGUUCACAUGCUAUGCUUUGUUCACAUGCUUUUGUUUUGAUUUACAUGGGGUAUAUUUAGAUUUACCAUUAUUUUGUCAUUACCUUAUAAUUACCUUGUAGUUACCUUUACAAAUACUUGAAGAAAGAAAAUAGAGCCGAGUAUGUUUCAUUUGUAGAUUUUGGUCAUAUACCUACAUAUGGUGUGAGCAAAGAAGACAAUAAAUUGUCACAACAUAUUGCUGCUCAGUUUGGAGCAUCAAACAGAGAUAAUAUCUACUUCAUCCGAUACAACACUGGGUAUCAUUGGAUCUAGAUUCUUUUUGUUUUCUUUCGUUUCGACUUUGAGUUUUUUUUAGUCUUUCUGAAUUGGUAUAAUUACCUCUUUAGAAAAUUUUCCCGUUGUAAUUUCUUUGAAUUGCUCAAACUGGUGCAAUAUAAAUCAAGUUUUCUUAUCUUUAUCAUUUCCCACACUACUAAUCCAAGACCUAGUUUUGGGAUUUCUUUUGUUGCUUAUUUUUUGUGUGAAAGAUUCUAAUGGCCCAAAGCGAAGGCUUCAACACCGCGCAUCCUCCACUCUUCGCCAGGGAUGACUUCCCGUAUUAGAAGAGGAGAAUAGAGGUGUACCUCAAGAUGGACAUCGAUAAGUAGUUCUCAAUCUAACGUGGGUACCAGGCAUCGGUUGACGAAGCAACCAAAGAACCUAUUGAUUUGGACUAAAGCACUAAACACCCUCCAGUGCAGACUGACAAAGGAGGAACUCAACCGGGUUGACCUAUUUGAAAAUGCAAAGGAGCUGUUGGACAAGCUAAUCAAACAGCACGAGGGCACCAGUGACACGAAGGUAACAAAAAGAGAUGUAUUAUUAAAUUCAUUAUUCAAUAUCAAAAUGUAGGAUGCAAAAAUGACAACACAACUUCAUGCAAGGAUCAAAGGCAUCCUCAACGGGUUGCACCUCAUCUGCCAUGAGUUCAAAACUGGGAUGUCAUAAGGCAUAAAAAGGGUCAUGGACCCGAUCAGAUCAGACCAUAUUUGGGCUCAAAUCUAGGGCUAAACAAGUCGAUCAAGCUUUGGAUCGAUUUGGACCGUUCAUUAAAGAUCAGAGAGAUCUGAGCCAUCCGUCAAGAAUCUGGUCCAUCCGACCUAAUGAGGAUCAGAUCUCGUCCGUUGAUGAAGAUCCAGAGAUUUUGAUCCAGAUCUGAGUUCAUCCAACCGUUGAUCAAGCCUCGAAUUGUUCUGGACCGUUGGAUCAUAUUUGAGAAGGAUUUAAAAGCCUCGCGAGAAGCUACAGUGAGUUGGACUCGGCGUUUUCGCUAUCACUGUUCCUUCUUCUUAUUCUCCACGACGCCGAGGUUCCCGUUCUCCAUUCCAGAUCCGGAUGUUAGCAUUCUUCAUCGGCGGCGAUUCCUGAGCUCCGACGUUCACCAUCCGAGGACACAAAGAGCGGCAGAGGGUGUUCCCCAGUCCGCGAAGUUGAGUUCUGUCCCAGUUCGCAAUCCAGGCAAGAGGCGUUCCCAGAUCUGGAUUUCCAUCAGCCAACGGAGCUCUCGAGGGUGGUUCCCAGAAGCUCCGAUCGCAUUUCUGUUCUUCAUUCCAUUAGCAACUCCAACCGAUCUGAUCAAUCGAGUGACGUGCGCAAAUCCAGAAUUCAUGCUCUGUUUCCUUGUGCAUUGAGGAUUCCACUCGGGUGUGAGCUCGAAGGGCGUUCUCAGAGGCUAUGAACAUCCGGGUGGAUUAGCUGGUAGUUCGAGAUUCAAGCCAAUUGCCCAAAGGCCGUUCUCAGAGGCAAUUCUAUAGUGACAGCAGGGAGAAGAAGCUUGCGGCAAGGAUCCAUGGAUAAGGAACGUUUACCUCAUUUGCAUUUUGCUUUUGAAUUGUCCAUGAAUAUGCUCAGAUCUAAUGAUCUGAUUUAUUUUCUUGCCAUUUCGUUUUGUUUGAGUUUAGUUUUUAUAUGCAAUUUUGUUUCUGAUUUCUUAUUUCUUAUUUGCAAGUUUGUUUUCAUUUGAAUGUUUGCAAUGCAAAUCAUGUUUAGCUACUAACUUAGUUGCAAUUUAGACUUUGAUUUAAAUUAGGUGUUCUGAUUCUAACAAGGUUAUUGAGUUGCAAUUCAAGAAUUUAGGAGAACCUUUAGUUCUAUUCAUUAGAUUAGUUGUGAGUGUAAUGAAGUUUAAUUGUUGGAUACUUAAUUUGAAAUGCUGAAUGUUUACCUCUGUUCAUUGUCAUUGCGAAUGAGCUUCUGAGUUUUAGUGUUGAUUGUGAUUGAGUAUAGAAGACUUGGAAAUUAAGUUGAGUAUUGAAGUGGAUUGUGAUGGUGAAUGCAAUGUUGAUUUCGGUUUGUAAAUGACUUUAGUUUUUUGAGUUUAAUGGCUACUGUGAAUUUGAAUGCUUGAAUGUUUUGUUACUGUGAAUUUGAAUGAAAGGUAAAUUAAUUGACUCAUUUGAUUAGAUGAAACUUAAAGAGCCGAAUUUAAAUGUUGACAACUUGAUGAGGUAAAGUUUAAUCAUGUUUAGUUGAGAAUGAGUUGUUGGUGCAAGUUGCACCAGAAUCACACCUGAGUUUUGAUGUUGUCAAAGGUUCAAGUUAAGUCUUGUUAUGAUCUAACAAGU